CCUGCCCCGGCACAAUCCCCCCCCGUUGCCGGGUUACGACGGCCCGCGCACACCCCCCCCGAGGCGCGGGCCGUCCCUU
rfam:Corynebacterium callunae DSM 20147, complete genome.